GGUCUCUUGGCCGAGUGGCUAGGCAGUGGUCUGCAAAACCAUCCACGGCGGUUCGAAUCCGCCAGAGACCUCAA
rnacentral:tRNA from 2 species